rnacentral:tRNA from 2 species
GGCACGAUGCCGGAGUGGUCUAACGGGUGAGACUUGAAUCAUUAUAUGAUCCAGUCUAUCUCAUGUCUUAGGACGCGCAGGUUCGAAUCCUGCUCGUGUCG